rnacentral:rRNA from 1 species
GACGAACGCUGGCGGCGUGCUUAACACAUGCAAGUCGAACGGAAAGGCCCUGCUUUUGUGGGGUGCUCGAGUGGCGAACGGGUGAGUAACACGUGAGUAACCUGCCCCUGACUUUGGGAUAACUUCAGGAAACUGGGGCUAAUACCGGAUAGGAGCUCCUGCUGCAUGGUGGGGGUUGGAAAGUUUCGGCGGUUGGGGAUGGACUCGCGGCUUAUCAGCUUGUUGGUGGGGUAGUGGCUUACCAAGGCUUUGACGGGUAGCCGGCCUGAGAGGGGGACCGGCGACAUUGGGACUGAGAUACGGCCCAGACUCCUACGGGAGGCAGCAGUGGGGAAUAUUGCACAAUGGGCGGAAGCCUGAUGCAGCAACGCCGCGUGCGGGAUGACGGCCUUCGGGUUGUAAACCGCUUUCGCCUGUGACGAAGCGUGAGUGACGGUAAUGGGUAAAGAAGCACCGGCUAACUACGUG